rnacentral:misc_RNA from 1 species
GUAGGUGAACCUGCGGAAGGAUCAUUAUUGAAUAAACCUGAUGUGACUGUUAGCUGGCUUUUCGAAGCAUGUGCUCGUCCGUCAUCUUUAAUCUCUCCACCUGUGCACAUUUUGUAGUCUUGGAUACCUCUCGAGGCAACUCGGAUUUUAGGAUCGCCGUGCUGUACAAGUCGACUUUUCUUUCAUUUCCAAGACUAUGUUUUUAUAUACACCAAAGUAUGUUUAAAGAAUGUCAUCAAUAGGAACUUGU